UUGAACGCUGGCGGCGUGGUUAAAGCAUGCAAGUCGAACGGACUAGCAAUAGUCAGUGGCGAAAGGGUGAGUAAUAGUAUCGAACGUGCCCCGAGGUGGGGGAUAGGCAUUGGAAACGGUGCGUAAUACCCCAUGAUGUCGAAAGACCAAAGGCUUGCCGCCUUGGGAUCGGCGAUACUCCUAUCAGGUAGUUGGUGAGGUAAUGGCUCACCAAGCCAAAGACGGGUAGCAGGUGUGAGAGCACGGCCUGCCACAUCGGGACUGAGACACUGCCCGGACUCCUACGGGAGGCUGCAGCGACGAAUCUUCCGCAAUGGACGAAAGUCUGACGGAGCGACGCCGCGUGCGGGAUGAAGCGGCUUUGCCGUGUAAACCGCUGUCAGGAGAUAGAAACAAUGAUCAUCUCCAGAGGAAGGGCCGGCUAACCCUGU
rnacentral:rRNA from 1 species